UCUCCUUCCUGCCACCAUGUGAAAAAGGACAUGUUUGCUUCUCCUUCUGCCAUGAUUGUCCCCUAUAUUCUCACCAGUAACUAAAAGGAUAGUGUCCAGAAUGAAUCUAAGUAGAAGAAGGGAAGACGAGAAGGACACAAGAAGGAAGACAAGGAAAAAUGUCGACCUCAAAGAACUAGAGGAACAACACUGGAGUUAUACGAAACACCCAGAAUUAGAAUCAGAGCAAUUUGAUUGGAUUUACUACAGCUGAUUCUAGAUACAAGAACUUUACCGAGCCAUUUACAAUUUUUGUGCUUCAAUUUCAUCAUUUUAAAACAGAAAGAAAGCAUUUACCUUAUACGCUUGUUGCUUAGAUUAUAAAGGAAUUAUCUAUAUAAAAAGUACAAUAAAGAAGAAUAUAAAUGUAAGAAUGUAGAGGGUCACAAACAUUGUUUGAAAUAUCCAUGCUUUUCAUUUUGGAGUGAAAAGAGGAAAAAUACUAACUGUAAAAUUAAAUUCAUU
rnacentral:lncRNA from 10 species